rnacentral:rRNA from 1 species
GGUGGAGUGAUUUGUCUGGUUAAUUCCGAUAACGAACGAGACUCUAUCCUACUAACUAGACGAUUGAUUUGAAUUUUAAUUCAAAAACAAAAAUAAAAAGGGUUUCAAACGAAGUAUUUAAUACUCUCUUUGUUCCCUUAUAUGUCAAUCUCUAAACAAAUAAUAAAGGUAUAUAGUUCUUCAAUAAGGGGCCUAUGUUGGGUGACUUUACUUCUUUUGCUUCGCUUCAUUGCUGAACAAAGAUUGGUUUGCCUGUUCAUAACAAUCUUAUUGUCCUAUAUUCUUUGUCUUCUUAGAGGUACAGGCAGCUUCUAGCUGCAUGAAAUGGAGCAAUAACAGGUCUGUGAUGCCCUUAGAUGUCCUGGGCUGCACACGCGCUACAAUGAAAGUGACAAUGAGUUCUCCUGCCCUGAAAAGGGUGGGUAACCGAUUGAAUCACAUUUCGUGCUUGGAAUAGAGGUUUGAAAGUUUUCCUCUUGAACGAGGAAUUCCCAGUAAGUGUCUCUCUUUACGAGACGCUGAUUACGU